AAAUUAAUUUUAUUCUAAUUCUAGAGUGAUUUAUUUUAUACAUUAUAGUGAAUUUUUUCAUAGUAAAUUUUUUGGUCGGUAUUUUUUCUUUGUACAAACUUUUUAUUUUUAAUUUUCGGUGCAUAUUUUUAGUUAUUAAGUAUUAUUUGAUAAUGAAGCUGGAAGAUAGAUAGUUCAUUUAGGUUUAUUUUAGUGACCGUAAAUACCACUGGUCACAGAAGAGCAAUUUAAUACACAAUUUUGUUUACUUUGGAUGACAUAUUUUUUCAGUUAUUUUGAUUUAAAUACCAUUGAACUGAAUUUGAUAAAUUUUCUAUGGGACUAUUUUAAAAGCAUGUCCUUUUAAAUAAAAAAGAAUUUUCGACAUCGGUUUAUAAAUGGCGGAGUAGUGAGUUUAAUAAGUAACCCAGUAUUUUUUUUAUAAGUACUCGAACAGAUCAAAGUUUAAAAUAAAACCGUUCGGAUUUAUUAAUUUUCAAGAGAGCACUCGGUAACCUGGCUUUCAGUUUAUGUACUGUUCAUACGAUCAAUUUAUACCUACUAUUUGAUUUUAUUUUAAGUAUAAUAGAAUCAUUAUAAUGGUAAUAAUAGUUUUGAUAUACAGUUAUAAUUUUAUGUAACAAUCUAACAUUUAAUUGUGAAAGUUUAGGAUAAAAGUGAACUUCCCCAAGUAGUUGGGAUUAAGGCGAGGAAAAUAAGAAGAAUUUAAUGUUUAAUUAGUAAAUUAAUAAAAUAAUAACAUUUUAAAUAAUACAAUGAUCUAAGAUGACUUUAUUCAGACUAGUGCGAAUUCAUUUGGCGAGCAGAUGACGGAUUUUUAAUUGUGAUAUAAUUUAGUUGUGAUUUGUGUGCUAUUCCCGCAAAUUGUUAACAAAUAUAUCAUUUCUAUAAAUGCUCCUUUUGGGACGUUACUAUUUUCUUAUCAACAAGAGAACUAACAACAUUUCUGCCGCUCUUGUCUCUUUCCUGUUAAUAAUUUGUUUCGCGUUUAACUCAAAAAACUAAUAUCCAAAUAUAUUAAAAACAACUGAUUAUAUUGGAGCGGAGAAAAAUUUCAAAGAUAUGUAAUGACUGAAAAACAGUAGUGUUAGUGCUUCAAAACAACUUGAAGAAAAACAGAUAAAUCUGCCAGUUCUGGAGGAUUUUUUGAUGAAAAAAAGGUUUACUAAUCAAAAUACCUUGGAUCAACUACUGCAACAAUUAAUUAAAGUGUUAAUUUACCAUUUAGAAUAAUUGUAAAUCUUGUUUUAAAGGAUAUAAUUGAAUGAGGUUUCCCCAACAGAAAACUUAUGUCUCGGCCUACUUUAAUGAAAAGUAUUGAGAAAGACUUUCAUAAAUUAUCCUUCAAAAUGAAAUCUGAAAUGUUUAAAUGUUAUCAUAUUGUUGCGACUACAGAUUUUUAAAAAGUAAUAAAUUUUUUUAGAUUGUACAUUGGAAUAACAGUCGCAUGGAUCAAUGAGGAUUUAUUACUAACACUAAGAAGACUAGAAGAGUCACAUACAUGUAAUAACUUAGCUAAAGCAAUAGAUGAAGUAUACACACAG